rnacentral:rRNA from 1 species
UACGAAGGGGGCUAGCGUUGUUCGGAAUUACUGGGCGUAAAGCGCGCGUAGGCGGACGUUUAAGUCAGGGGUGAAAUGCCGGGGCUCAACCUCGGAACUGCCUUUGAUACUGGACGUCUGGAGUUCGGGAGAGGUGAGUGGAAUUCCGAGUGUAGAGGUGAAAUUCGUAGAUAUUCGGAGGAACACCAGAAGCGAAGGCGGCUCACUGGCCCGAUACUGACGCUGAGGCGCGAAAGCGUGGGGGAGCAAACAGG